GCCCGGAUAGCUCAGUCGGUAGAGCAUCAGACUUUUAAUCUGAGGGUCCAGGGUUCAAGUCCCUGUUCGGGCGUUUGUAGUUUUCGUUACUUUAACCUGCUAAAUUAUCCCAUCAAGUCCCAAGAGCGGACAUCGUAAACCCUUACAUUUCAAGUUGAAUUCAAAUCAUUUUUCACUGGGUUCAGAAUAUGCUAGAUAGACGUGUUUUCAGGGAGGAAAAAAAAUGACUGAAAAGUCAUUUAAUUUCUUGGAGAGUAUCGAGGUCUGGCACAGUGGUUUCCCAGAAAAAUAUUUGUUUUUUGAUGGCUCAUAAUUGAGAAAGGAAGAAAAAAACUUAAAAGCAAGCACCUUGUGCUCUCAC
rnacentral:tRNA from 1 species